GGCCAAUGCUACUCUAGGUCAGCGGUCCUACAGUCAGCACGGCUUUGAUACCAUUUAUGUCACACCAGGUUUUGAAGGUAAACCGAAUGCGAACCAUGUACGUGCUAGGAUCAGUAAUUCACGUACACAGCGAUUACAUAAAUGACUCAUCAUAGCACAAUCCUUCGAUUUACAAUAAAGAGUGAGUAAUAAUAUUACAGACUAGAGCCAUUUACAUAAUAUAAAUCAAAGUACACAGAAUCGAAACGUAGCCAACAUAAACAAACCCACCACAGGCAGCUGACUGUGGGAGGUCACUAGCCUAAUCCUCGAACUCGUCGAAGUCCUGGAACUCCUGGAGAUCUGCCUCGACACCUUCUUCUUUACCUGAGCAUAGAUUGCACCAAAGGCAACCUGGUGUUUUGUGAAAGCAAGGGUGAGUACACAUCAACGUACUCAGCAAAUGUCCCAUUUGGCUGCAGUGGACUAGCUUUAUGUGGAGUUAAGCCAAGUAGUUGCUUUUAGUUGGUCAGGUUAUUAUUACUAGUAGAAAGCCAGGUUUUAGUAUUAACCCAAUGUACCCUUUCCAAACAGAAAGAAUACCACUUACCAGUACCAUAAGCAUAAUCAAAACCAUCAACCUUGUCAGCACAUGUAAACCAUACAUCUCUGAUCAAGUAUCUCUAAUCAAUGGAGCUCCCUUGGCCGCUCAUAACCGCGAGCACGGCUGAUAUAUCAGUUUCAUAACACUCUGCAGAGGUUGCACACUUUACCCACAAGCCGUGAUUCCCUCUUGCCUCGGGCCGAUCAAACCCUUUAACACUACCAAGGUGAAUAGGCAGGGUCUCACUACGUAGCCUUUACAAAGAUUCCCUGGGGCUGUAGCCGCCCGUUAGGUUUCCUAAAUGCACUGCACUCCUCCCCAAGGGGCGAACCAACCUUGGCAGAGCGAGCCGCAUACAUCGAGCCCCAUUAACGGCACGACGGCGAAGCGAACUACACCCAGUUCCUCUAAUUACUCAGCUAAAGGUGUCCCACUCCACCCUCAUGGUUGCACUGUUUUCCCGGGCGGUCAUCCAACGAAUAGGUCCUUACGGAGAGGCACUCGAGAAACAGCGCGAGUGCCCUUAAGUAUCACCAGUCCAACAUCAUAAUCAUAAUGACAACAUCGUAUCAUAAGUGUUCACAUCAUGUUCAUUGAUUAAAGUAAAGCAAUAGCAUGAAUCUAACCAUAGUAGCCCAAAAGGUAAUCAAGGACCAGGUAAAUAGAAAGCUAGUCAAUCCUUAGGUUGUUCAUAGUAUGCGGGACAGUGAAUUGUAAAGUAAAUGGGACAUAAUGGGUCAAAGAACACUUGUCUUCACCAAACAGAUGCUCAGGAUCUUCAGCCUCAUAGAACUCGAAGAACCAGAUCACUUGGUCGCCAACUCUUGAUCUUCGAUCCCUCAAAGCUCGAAAACGAAUCGCGAUCUAAUCGCAAUGCGAAGCGAAGACGAACAAGCACAGACAAACAAACAUAUAUAAAUACAUAAGAACAUUACACCAUACAAGAUAAAAUGUUAUAAAAAUGAGCAAUAUAAAAUAGAGAGCGCUUCUACGGUUACGCGAGAAUAAGAAACAUGAUGGUCGAAGCUACGGUCGAGAAGUUAUAACAUUUACGCUACGCAAGUAGUAGUCAGACAUUUAAUUCGACAUUAUCAAAUAUAAAUUAUAACUUGUUAUUUAGUUUUGAUUAAAUCUGCUACGCUAACAGCUGUCAGUUAAACCAGUAAUUUAAUUAGAGCGAGAGAUCCUAAGCGAGGCAAAUUUACGACGGGUGAAACAGCACAGUGUGCGAACGACGCGCGGAUACGCGCGACAGAGCAUUGCUGACGACACACGAAACAGUGCAUGCGACCAGCACGAACGACGCGCGAAUCAGCACGACACCACGUGCGGAACAACUCGUGCGACAUGCGAGAAGGACUAAAUAGGUGAUGCGUUUAUACCAAAUAAUUAUUAGAUAAGUAGUUAAGUUAAUAUUAGUCAUGUUAAUGUUUAUUCUACAAGCGCGAGUUGAACACUACACAUUUAAUCUAAUUAGAAUAUUAAUCUAAUACAUAUUAGUCGAGCAAACCUUAAGUUUACUAUCUAAAAUAUGCGACCGGACGAAUUAAUGUUAUUAACAUGAGUGUUUAUGCGUGAAAACAAUUUAUUAUCACGCGCAGACGCCGCGUGACUCACGUGAUCGACACGCGAGAUACAAGCUAACGACACGCGGCAAGGCAAGCGACACGUGUAAAUGGCACACGUGACGCAUGGACACAAUGUGUGACAACACGCGACACUGUACGAAACAGCGCGCGGACUGCACGCGAAACAACGCACACGACAGCGCGCGAGUUAGCGCGACUGCGCGCACGACAUGCGUGGAACGAUGCGCGAACGACACGCGGCGACUUGACACCGAACGACACCGCAUAAGAGAAUUACUAAGUUACGUCGUGCUUAUACAAAACAAAUAUUAAUUACAACAUUUGAGUAGAUAUAAUCCUAUUAACAGAUAUAAAUAAGUGUGGCUAAAAUUAUAAAUUAGUUUAAAUAAACUACUACUUUAAUAACUCGGAUAAAUAAAUAAAUAAUUAACUAAUUAAUUAAAACAUGCCUCGCGAGGAAAUAAUGUUACUAACAUGUUGGUGACGAGGUUACGAAGUUAAAGCGACUGAAAUGAAUAGAAAUGGGUUUAUGACACAUUAUAUAUAGAAUAGUUAACAAUUCAUGGCUAAUAAACAAUUUUAUUAAAGCGCGUGAAUCGCGACUCGCGUGAACGACGACACGUGAACAACACGCAAGAACGUCGUGUGGACACACGUGACACGCGAGCAUUACAGAUAUCGUGUCUAUACUAAGUACUUAUUCAGAGACAUUUGAAUUAGUAUAAUAAUAAUAUUAACAUGUAUUUUAAAAUCGCAAAGUAAGAGUAUAGAUUAAUUUAAAUUGCAAUGCGAAUAGACAAGAGAUUAAAUAACUAAUUAGAAUAUACAAUAUGACAAAAUAAUAUUUUAAUAUGCAGAUGACGUUGUUAUGGAAUUAGCGUAACUAGAAUGGUCCAAGACGUAUUUAUAACGCAACAUAUACUGAAUAAAUAAUAUUUCGCGGAUUAUAGGUGACGUGGCACGGUCUGGUUGGUCGAACCGAAGCCACAUGAAAGGCCACAUGCGAUACAACCACAUAGGAUGAAAAAGAGUGGGAUUAGUGUGGCUAACUCCUACCUCACGCAUAGGAAUCUGCUACCUUCUCUGUUGAGACAACAGGGAACGAGCAGUAGGGAGAGAGGGCUAGGGGCGCCAGCCAUCACACCAUUGGAUCAUGGGACGAGCACUAGGGCCCACGUCCGGCCACAUGCCUAAUGCCUUUGAAGUUUUCACAUAGGAGGGCUUCGAGCAGGCUUGUACGUCGCACAUGGGAGUUGACCGCUCGGCUAAGCUGGACGAGUAGGACCGUGGGAAUAGGCAAUGGGGAUUCAGCCUCUAGUGUCGGCCACCAUGGGAGGAGAGAGGAUGCAAGAAUUUGUACCUCGGCGAUCGCGUACAGGCUAGGAACGGGCGCCGGGAACUUCCAGGGACGAUCGUCACGGGGCUGCUCACCCGCCGGCUGCCGGACUCGCACUGGGCGCCGAGGGCCGCGCAUGCCGCCAUGGCCGAACCACGCUGGGCUGCCGCGCGCGCUGUGCUAGUUGGCCGCACGCAAGGGAAAAUAGGGGCGGCUGGCCGAGUCGAGCCGCAGGCUGCCACGGCCGUCGGUUGGCUGGCCGCCGCACGCCGCGCUAGCUGCGCAGGCUAGCACCGUGCCGGGCCGCCUGUAAGAGCCGCGCCGGGGGCCUUUGCAUCUGGGCGCUGGGAUCGGCAACAACUAGGUGAUAGGGGCAGUGGUGGUUACAAGCAUCAGGAUAUGCGGGUCAUGGGGAAGCAGGGAGAGAAGAUAAGAAAGGGAGAGAUGGACGGUGGUUUCCACUUUCCACGGCGCAGCCACAAGGCAUGACGUACGGCACGGCUAGGAGCGUGGGGCACG
rnacentral:lncRNA from 1 species